rnacentral:tRNA from 1 species
GGAGGCGUGCCGGAGCGGUCGAACGGGCGCGACUGGAAAUCGCGUGUGCUCGCAAGAGUACCAGAGGUUCGAAUCCUCUCGCCUCCG